CAAGAAACCCACCUACGAUGGGGCGGGGGUGGAGUAACAGGUUUGGUUUACCAUGGUUCAGCCUGGAGAUCCAGGAGUGAACAAGAUGAUGAUAAGAUUCCCUUCCAGCUUUGGGUCUAAUGAUCCUGGGUGCUCCUGAAACUGCUCAGGUGGUCAGUGAGUGCCCCCCUGGUAAUUUCUGCCCAGAAUGAUUGACAGGAGAGACAACAAGUUCCUGGCCUGCGUUUCACCCCAGUGGCCGAUGCAUCUGAAAUGCCUGCAGUUCUCAGCUCUUGAACAGAACUGAGGAGUCUUGAAAGAGGCCAUGGCAUGCCCUGUGGGGUCUCCAGGCAGCUUUGAUAGGCCCAGUUGGCAUUUGCUAUAAAAACUUAUUAAAUCCAGGCCUUUCUUCUGCAACUGAGACUCCAGAACAGCUGCCCCUGACAAACAAUAAAGAAGAGCUAUCGAAGUCACAUCAUGGGCUGGAACCAGAAA
rnacentral:lncRNA from 1 species